rnacentral:tRNA from 1 species
GGUCCCGUAGCUCAGCUGGAUAGAGCACCUGCCUUCUAAGCAGGCGGUCGUUGGUUCGAAUCCAACCGGGAUCG